rnacentral:rRNA from 1 species
UACGUAGGGGGCAAGCGUUGGUCCGGAUUCAUUGGGCGUAAAGAAGCGUGUAGGCGGCCAGGCAGGUCCGCUGUGAAAACUCGAGGCUCAACCUCGAGAUGUCGGUGGAAACCGUCUGGCUAGAGUCCGGAAGAGGAGAGUGGAAUUCCCGGUGUAGCGGUGAAAUGCGCAGAUAUCGGGAAGAACACCCGUGGCGAAGGCGGCUCUCUAGUACGGUACUGACGCUGAGACGCGAAAGCGUGGGGAGCGAACAGG